rnacentral:lncRNA from 1 species
CUGGCUCUCCCACUGUCCGCGAAGCUGGGUGACAUCAGGUGUGGUUUAAGGGCAGAGUUUGGAUCGGAAGACCCACGUCUGAAUCGUAGGUGAAGACUAUGGGGAAGGAUCAGGGACCAAGGCCAUGGAGAGGGCUGUGGUUCUGAGGGCUGCAGGAGGGCACGGGAGCGGCUGGGGGAGGAGUGGAGGGAGGGAGGCUAUCUGCAGCCCCCACCCCACUCAGCCCCGCAGAGCGCAGAGCAGCAGGGUAUACUCCCAGGCAUGACACCAGGCGAGGGGGCACUGCCCUCAUCCUCCUGGAUACCCGAGUCUCUUAUCCUUUAGUGGUUUAAAUUCUCUCUCCCCACUGGGGCAGAAAUCUCAGUGCUACUAUUUCUUCAAACCAUUUAUAGCGCCAGUUUUCGAAGCACACUCACCUGUUGUCUUACUUAUCCUUAAUGGGGGUUCUGCCCCCGCCCCCCCCCCCCCCCCCGCCCACAGAGGGUCAGGAAUGUUUGGGAUGUGCAGCCAAGCCACGUUCUUCCCCAGGUGUGCAAGAGCUCCCCGUGCACGGCCUUAGAAUGCCUUAUUAGGAAAAGUUGGGGUGGGAAGUGUCAGGCCUCUGAGCCCAAGCCAAGCCAUCGCAUCCUCUGUGACUUGGACGUAUACGCCCAGGUGGCCUGAAGUAACUGAAGAAUCACAAAAGAAGUGAAAAUGCCCUGCCCAGCCUUAACUGAUGACAUUAUCUUGUGAAAGUCCUUUUCCUGGUUCAUCCUGGCUCAAAAAGCUCCCCCACUGAGCACCUUGCAACCCCCACUCCAGCCCGCCAGAGAACAAUCCCCUUUGACUGUAAUUUUCCUUUACCUACCUAAAUCCUAUAAAACGGCCCCACCCUUAUCUCCCUUAUCUCCCUUCGCUGACUCAGCCCGCCUGCACCCAGGUGAUUAAAAGCUUUAUUGCUCACACAAAGCCUGUUUAGUGGGCUCUUCACACGGACGCGCAUGCAAGGAAGGAGGUUUUUCAUCAGUGGACCAGCUUACUUAGAUUUUCACCAAAUCAUCCGAUUCAUCUGCAGAAUUUGCUUUGGGAACUGCCUAGGAGUUUGUUUUCAAUUGGUCCACACGUGCUUGGCAAACACCCUGAGUGUUGCAGACUGUGGGUUUAGUCUUCCACUGGAGUAUUCUCAAAUUGCCUUUGCAGUUUUAGAAUAAGACCUCUUAUAAUAAGCUUCCCACUGUCAAUGUUUUCAGACACUUUAAAAAAUGCCUCUUGCUGCAGGGCUUCUUCUUGAUAUAUGCCAGUCACACUCCCCCAAACUCCUCUCCAAGUAGAGAACUAAAGCUCUAUCAAAUAUUUCAUCCCAACUUAAUUUUCUAGGGUAUUUGUUGUUGUUGUUGUUGUUGUUGUUGUUUAUUUUGGCAGUUAGGCUUGUUCCUGAAGUUUAAAUGGCACGGUUUAAAUCAUGUUCUGUGCAUACAGGGAGGCCAUGUGUUCCCUGGGGCCCAGGACACCCAGCCUGGGUGCUACGUAAUGCGGCCUUCCUGUCUUAUGGGGCAUUGCUAACAGGUGGCCCAUCCCAAAUGCCUGCAGAUUUUCAGAGGGGCGCUGAACUCCCCAGAGAGGAAGGAUAGUGCGGAGAUUUCCAUUGUCUUGCUUUGGUUUAGAAAGCCCCAGGGUAGGGGUGAGUCCUGGUCCCGCCCCAGCCCUCGUGAAGACCCACCUGCCUCAGAGAAUGGCUGAGCUCCAGAGACACCUGAGUCAGUGCCCAGCCUGGCAGGAUCUUCUGCAACUACGUGCACCGGCACCUGUGCUGCAGGCCUCCCGCUCCCAGCCACGGACCAGCACCUGGGCUCAGGCCUUUAAGACCAGGAGUUGGCUGUGGAGGCUGAGGAGAGGCGAGACUUUGGCGUGCGGCUUGCGUGACUGCAACUAGACAAGGUUAGUCAUUUGGUAAAAACAGAUGUUGGUAUUUUCUAAAACAAAUCCGACUUCCAAAUAUUGGGCUGAAACACGCAUAGUGUUUCCCUCUAGUCGGGGGACUCCCUUUGUAACCUCACUCCUGAGUUUGAGACGUGGGGUGGGAGCCAGGCCAGGGUCGCUUACAGUGGGGGCCUCUUGCCCUCACAGCCUUGUCAGGAAUGGCCCCAAACCAAGAGCGUCCUCGGGUCAGUAUUUCCUGGAUUAUUACGUGAGUUUACUGCAAUAAACUUCAUCUGUGGGUCAUACAGUUUAAAAAGUAUACCGUUUACAAAAUGAAAUUGACAGAUUUUGGGGGCAACAGUAGGGUCGCUGUAUGAUUUACUGUGGCCUCAGUCAUAAAGGAAAGUGAGCCAUCUCGGUCAUGUUUGCUUUUGUUAUUACUCAAAAAGAAAUACCUUGUGAAAUGUAAGAUAAAAUGUCUCAUUGCUUAUACUGUCAUUUUGGUUCCAAUCUUGGUUUCACAAAGUUAGAUAUCACUGCAGUUAAACAGUAGAUAUCUUGACAUAUUUGACCACAGCUAUUUUCCCUUUUUAAGAGGCUUGGCUUAAAACAAUCACUAUUGGAAAUUUGUUCUUUGGCUACAAUUAUGUCUGUCCUGUUCUGUUAAAAACUAGAAUUUAAAAAUUGGUUGCAGGCCAGGUGCACUGGCUCACACCUGUAAUCCCAGCGCUUUGGGAGGCCAAGGCAGGAUUGUUUGAGAGCAGCCUGGGCAACAUGAGACCCUGUCUCUAAAAAAAUAAAUAAAUAAAAAACUCAGCCAGACACGCUGGCACAUGCCUGUAGUCCCAGCUACUCAGGAGACUGGGGUGGGAGGAUCGCUUGAGCCCAGAAGUUUGAGGUUGCACAGAGCUAUGAUUGCACCACUGCCAUCUAGCCUGGGUGACAGAGUGAGACCCUGUCUUGGGGGAGGGGCGGGGAAAUAAUGGGUCCUGGGUAGAGAAUCACCGCAUGAAGGUGCUGAUGUCCAGGUGAUUCUACUGGCCAGCCAGGAAGAACCACUGCAUGAGGCUAAGAGCCUGCAAAGCAAAUGGGACCCUGUUUUGUUCAGCAAUUCAAUGUACGCGGGCAACUUAGCUGCAGAGAGCACCCGACCUUGCCUGCUCUGGAGGAGCCCUGGGGAACCAGCAAGGUGGCAGUGCUACCAAGAUGGAAUCCCCUAAUUCAUCCAUCUGCUUGUUACGGGAGCCAAGUGAGAAACCCCAGAUGCAGUCAUCAGAGUUUGAAGGAAAACAAACCUGAUCAGCACAAAUUGAAUUUCAUGCUUUAAUUUUAAACUUUGGAAGGUACUACCAAAAUGAAGAUGCCGUUGAGUUUGCUGCAAACCAUGAGGUAACUUCUUUUUUCACUGGUUGCAAUGGACUGAAUAUCUGUCUCCCCUCAGCAAGGUCAUGUGUCGAAACCCCAACCUCGAAGGAGAUGGGAUCAGAAGGUGGGGCCUUUGGAGAUAAUUAGAUCAGGAGGGUGGAGCCCCCAUGAAUGGGAGGCCAGAGAGCAGAGUUGCCCCCUUCCGAGUGAGUUGGCCUUCUGCCUCUGGAACAGAGCCUCACUGACGGGGAGAAAUAUAUUUGUUGUAUAUAAGCCACCCAGACUACAGCAUUUUUUAAAAAAUUAUGUCAUUGAGACAGGGUCCUGGUCUUACCCAGGCUGGAGUGCAGUGGAGUGAUCAUAGCUGCAGCCUCCAACUCCUGACCUCCAGUGAACCUCCUGCCUUGGACUCCCAAAGUCCUGGGAUUACAGACGUGAGCCUCCACACCCGGCCAGAUUAUGGCACUUUGUUAAAGCAAGGUGAACUGACACUGGUUUGAUACAACCUCAUUGUACAAUCAAGUAUUUAAGGGCACACGUUGGGAGCCUUAGACACUGCCUCCUACCUUUUAGCCCCUUGUCAUCUGACUCCUGUACCUCUCUUCCCGCCACCAAAGCUGCUCCUGUUCAUGUCACCAAAUACCUAAGUACCAUGUCCAAAAGGUGAUUUCAGGCUUGACCUUACCCCUUUAAUCCUGAAGGUGGUAUAUGACAUCUUCCAGCUUUCUACAGCCUCACAUUCUGGAGUGAAAUGGAUGUAAAUCAAACCAAGAGUUCCCCUGGCGGCUCCUCAGAUUCCUGUCCAGAUGUUUCAUCUUUUGCUUUGUUAGUCUUGGUGUCCCCAAAGUCUGCAGUCUUCUUCCUUGUCUUCACCCUUCUCCCACCCCAGUGACUUCAACUGCCCCCCUCUGUAGGGGUCUGGUGAGGGUCAGCUUGGUGGUUCCAGAGCCCUUUGCUCUAAACCCCGGCAGAAUCCUCCACUCUAUUCAGGGAGCUAUGGUGCUUCCCUCAUGUCCAAAAGAGCCAGAGCAGAGGUAUGGCAACCUGCCUGUGUGGUCUCCUCUCCAAUAAGCUGGAGGGUAAGAAUCCCUCCCAGGGAGUUGGAGAAAGCAGCUCGCCUGGAGCUAGGGCCUUAGAAAAGGUGAAUUCCUUUUCCCUAAAAGCCUCCAGGAGGUUGAAGCCUCCCUAGCUUUUUUGCGGGGGAUUCCAACUUGUCUGUCUUCUCCAGUCGUCUCACAUAAUCUCACCUGAAUUCCCCAAACCAGUUCAAUGCACAGCUCAAACUCCAGCCAUAGCCAUGUCCAGGCCUUUAUGAUUCUAGUUACCAGUGAUGCCUGGGAAAGGCACAGGGAUGUCAGGGACAUGGUAUGUUCAAGAACAGCAUGGCUGGGUUUUGCUGGGGUGCACAGCAAUGGGUGGAAUUGUGCUGGGAGCCAGUGCUGGAUGGAUGGGCCGAGCCCACACCCCGAGAGGCCUCAAUCUUGAAGAGGCAUCCCAGCCUCCGCCACUCCUUAGGAACUCUGAGUCGGGAGGGGCUUUAAGAGCGUCAAGGGGUGCUGCCACUUUACCUGCCUCAGAUCAUUCUUGUUCUUAAUUGCACCAAUUCACAUUUUGGCAGCUAUGUGACUGUAUCUUCCUAAGGUACUCAACUUCCUAAUUUGCAAAAUGGGGGAGACAAAACAGCCCUCACAGAGUUGUGUGAAGCGGAGGUGAGGCAAAGCAGGUGAAGGGCUUGACAUGAUGCCUAGCUCAGCAUCCUUGGGAACACCCUCUGCCAACUGUCCACACUCGGAGGACAUGGCUCUCCCAUUGAAAGUAGACAAGGGUGGUGGCCACACUGGUGGCUCACCUGGAGGGUGGGGCGCUGGAGUCCUCACCAACCAAAGGCCUAGCUCUGGUUGUACCUGAAGUAAACCAACAGUUGUGAACAAAACCUGAAAAUUCAACCUCAUGGAAUUUGGGAGUGUGCAGCAAAAAGCAGGCCAGAGAAGAGGCAGUGAGCUCAUCUGGAAUAUUUGGACCCAGAUCUAGAAAUAACACACUUGUCUCCUGAUACCCACCUUCUCCCUUCUCCCAUCUGCCUUUCCCGAAUUCACCCACUCUGCACCUUGCUAGCCAAUCCCCCCACCCCGCCUUUUUUUGAGAUGGAGUUUCGUUCUUGUUGCCCAGGCUGGAGUGCAAUGGCAGAAUCUCAG